ACGAACGCUGGCGGCGUGCUUAACACAUGCAAGUCGCACGAGAAAGUCUUCGGACGAGUACAGUGGCGCACGGGUGAGUAAUACAUAGGAACGUGCCUAUUAGUGGGGGACAACUGCUGGAAACGGCAGCUAAUACCGCAUAAUUUCGAGAGAAUAAAGGUGGCCUCUACUUGUAAGCUACCGCUAAUAGAUCGGCCUAUGUCCCAUUAGCUAGUUGGCAGGGUAAAAGCCUACCAAGGCAACGAUGGGUAGCUGGUCUGAGAGGACGAUCAGCCACACUGGAACUGAGACACGGUCCAGACUCCUACGGGAGGCAGCAGUGGGGAAUCUUGCGCAAUGGGCGAAAGCCUGACGCAGCAACGCCGCGUGAGUGAAGAAGGCCUUUGGGUUGUAAAGCUCUUUCGACUGGGGAGAAGGGCUCUUGCGUGAAUAAUACAAGAGUUUGACUGUACCAGGGGAAGAAGCCCCGGCUAACUUCGU
rnacentral:rRNA from 1 species